ensembl:lncRNA
GUUUCCCAGAAAGUGGUACUGUUUAUUUUUACAGCAAUAUUUGUAUAAUAGUAUUUAUUUAGUACCUGCUAUGCCGUGGGUUGUCUUGGCAGCUGCCAACAGAACAAAGACCCAGUCUUCAUGGAACUUAUGUUUGCUUAUGUCCGAGAUUUCAGUGUGUUUGGGGGAAAAUACAUAGAAAAGAUAAUUAAGGUGACUUCAUUUAAAAAAAAUUUGUAGUGAAGAUGUUUUAGGGCUUUCUUUGACAUAAAACAAUUAAAAAAACCCUAUUUUCUCGGCGUUUGAUACUUGUUUCCAGAAAUGUUUGUCGUUGACCUGCAGAACCAAGGGAAAUAGAAUAUCCAUUUUAAAAUCUUCUUAUAUUACUGAUUUGACUACAGUUUCAUGCUUUAAUGCUGCAGAAAUCUACCUGGAAUGGCUUAUGAAUUAGGAAAUACAUGUAGCUAGGUAGUUUGCAUAAAAUACAUGGAAUUUAUGAGCAUUCAGGCUCUGGAGGCCAGCCUGCUUGGACUCCCCAUGCACAUUUCUUUGUACUUGUAUGACCUUGGACGAGUGUUGUAACUUCUGAGUCAGAGUUGAUUCAUCUGUGCAAUGAGGAUAAUAAGUGAUAAAAGUAUCAACCUUGGAGCUCCCAUGAUGGCACAGCAGUAACAAACCUGAUGAGUAUUCAUCCAUCAACCCCUAGCCUGGGAACUUCCAUAUGCUGUGGGUGCGGCCCUAAAAAAAACAGAAAAAAAAAGUAUCAAUAUCAUAGGCUUGUUAUGAGGGUUAAAUGACAUACUUCAUGCAAACUUCUUGAUACAUGGUGAGUACCCAGUGAAGGCUAGAUUUUAAAAACUUGUGUUAUCACUGGUUUUACUAUUACUGCUGUUGCCAUGCUAUGAUUACUGUGAAAAUUCUUAUUCUGUGUACUACACAGCAUAUAAUUCAGAUGUGUGAUUAAAUUAACAGGACACAUUCAGCAACAUCAUCCCUAUGUUACUGGAAAACUGUUUAAUCAGUGAUAUAGCUGUUAAUUUGCUAAAACCUAUGGAAACAUUGAAGUAGUCAUUACCGACUUUGCUAUGGCUAUACUAUUUAUAUUUUAUAAAGUAUAUACAUGUUAUUUAUAUAUUGUAUUUGAGCUGAGUGUCCAGCCUUCCUCAUUAGGAUUUUUAACCUAUUCUUUUUCAGUACAGACAGGAUGAAGAAGUGAAAACAUGAUGUUGGAAUAAAUGAUUUAUGAAUACCUGGAGUCAUAGCAUUUGAAACAAAGCAUGCAUACAUCUGAUAUUUUGUGGUGUCAUUACCUGUUGAUUAAGAAGAGUCCAUGUGACUACUCAGCAAUACUCCAGUUAAGGCCUGUGUUCACUCCACUUCCUUCAGGGAUGGGUUUCUUCUCAGGAAGCUGAUGGUGGGUGAGAUAAAGACAUGUGCAUAAGCAGUGGAAGAAGGCGUGUGGGAGAGGUAGUGGUACUGGUACUGUGCCCAGGGCAUUGUGUGGUCAGCCUUGUUUCUCCUUGGAGAUGCAUGCUUGUUUGUCGUGGUGUCUGGUAUUAAUCAUCCAAUAGCUUACUCAGCCUGGUCCUCCCAGCCAGGGAAAGAGAGUGUCUCAGGAACUGCUGAAGGGUCUGAAACGUUAGCCUGCCACCCUUUUAUGGGUGUGGCAGAAGACAGGAGACUCCUGGGUUUAGAGACAGAGGACAUCCAGGGCACUGCAGCCUCAUGGGCUCCAUAUUUGUGUUCUUUUCCUUUGCCUCACGUUCCACGGGGGCAACACAAAGGGGUUCAGUUUAGGAGGACACUGCCCACAUGCUGGGUUUGUUUCAUGGCUAAAGAAAUCUUGAAUUGUGUGAUGAAUCUUUCCUCAUGGGCUGCACAGAAACCUACCUGACCUUUUUCCAGAGGAAGAGCUAAACUUCAUCACAUUGGACAGUAAAGAAACCUGCCCUCUCCUUGGGAGAGGGAUGUUAUUCUCCAAGACUGUUUACCAUAGUGUUGCAAAAGGUGCAGAAAUGCUAGGGACCAUGGAGAAUGGUCCUCAGCAGGCCUCUGAGUAGCGGAUCUGAAUAGACGUCACAGAGUAUGAGUUAAUGUUCAUCUGCGUUGCCUGUUUAUUCUUGAACUGCAUCGCAGAGGCCUUUUCUAUUUCUGAAGUCCUCCAUGCUAUAUUCAGGACUGAAUAUCCUGAAUUAAAACUUGAUUCUCUUCUCAGUAAGUAGAUAUUGUUGAACUCAAUUGAUAUGCAUGCUGAGGUUGUUUAGGAAUGUUACUUUGAAAUGCAUCAAAAUAAGAAGGAUGGAGAUGGACAGGGGUGGCUAGGUGGUUUGAUAGGUGUCAAAGCAAAUAAUGGCAAAAUAUUAAUUGUAGAGUCUAGGUAAUGUGUAUAUGAUUGUUCACUGUUCAGUUGUUUCAGUUUGUCCGUUUGAAAUUGUUCAAAAUGUUGGGGGGAAGGCUAACUCUCUCUCCCCUUCUCUCUUCCAAGUCAGUUUUCUUUGCAACUAAACAAGGCUUGUAAUUGCAAGAAAACUUUAAUGGCAGUUUACAUCAAAAUAUGGAUAGAUGAUAACCAUUUUUAAGAAUUGUCUAGUCAGGAGUUCCUGUCAUGGUGCAGCAGAAUUGAAUCUGACUAGGAACCAUGAGGUCGUGGGUUCCAUCCCUGGCCUCGUUCAGCAGUGAGUUAAGGGUCUGGCAUUGCCAUGAGCUGUGGUGUAGAUCGCAAAUGCAGCUCAGAUCCUGAGCUGUUGUGGCUGUGGUGUAGGCCAGCAGCUGUAGCUCCGAUUGGACCCCUAGCCUGGGAACCUCCAUAUGCCGUGGUGCGGCCCUAAAAAAAAAAAAAA